rnacentral:rRNA from 1 species
UACGGAGGGUGCAAGCGUUAUCCGGAUUCACUGGGUUUAAAGGGUGCGUAGGAGGGCAGGUAAGUCAGUGGUGAAAUCCCCGAGCUUAACUUGGGAACUGCCGUUGAUACUAUCUGUCUUGAAUAUUGUGGAGGUGAGCGGAAUAUGUCAUGUAGCGGUGAAAUGCUUAGAUAUGACAUAGAACACCAAUUGCGAAGGCAGCUCGCUGGGACGUUACCGACGCUGAGACGCGAAAGCGUGGGGAGCAAACAGG